GCCGUUGCGGGUGCUGUUCGCCGCCACCGCCCGGCCGCUGGCCGGGCAGGGGGUGCCCGGGGCCUUCUGGCGCGGGCUGCGGCUGCUCGCGGUGGAC
rnacentral:tRNA from 1 species